GGCUUUGUGCAGUGGCAGUAUCAUAGCCAAUGAGGUUUAUCCGAGGGGCGAUUAUUGCUCACUGAAAACUUUUCCCGUCACGACUUGAAAUAUAGUCGGCAUUGACAAUUUUUGACAGUCUCUAUGGAGA
rnacentral:snRNA from 1 species